CAAACAAAAAUAGUUAAUAAUAGAGUUCUGAUCUGAUUUAUCCAUAAUCAGUUUUUUUUUCACAUUCGCUUACUAUGUCAAAUGUUUAUAAUCAAAGGCUGAAAGUACACAAUAUAUUCAAACAAAUAAGAAAGCUUUUUAAGAAGAAAAGAGAAGAGUUCUGGAAAUAUAUACUUGUUGAGAGCUUCAAUUGCUAUAAAUGUCCACAUAUUUUAUUUUGUCGAUUAGCCACGCUAAUAAAAUAUUUCAUUCUAAAAACAUGGAAAUUGAGAAUAUUUUUCAAUUCAUAGAAAUUCAUAUGCCUCAGUGUUUCAAAAAAAAAAAAAAAAAAAAAAAGAGAUUCAUAUGCGCCUCUUUAGAGGCUCUUUGAUUUGUCUUCAAAAUCUCAUGAUUACUCAGAAGCAAUUCGAUCACUUCUUUGAGCUCUAGUUUUGUUGAUACAUUUGCUAGCGAUAAGGGAUUCGCUUGCUGCAGCCUUCAUCAUGUGAUAUAAAAUAUCUCAGUGUGCACGAUUUCCAUCUGUUAUCUUUGUUCUUUUUUUUUUGGUUAUGCAUGAUCUGUUUUCUUUGUUCAUUUAUUUUGUUAUGCAUGAUUUUCUUUGUUUUUCUUUUUCUUCUAGUUCAUACCUUUAUUCAUUUUUAAUACUAGAGUCUUUUGAAAUUUUUUUCUAAAACAACUAAGUAUUCUUUCUCGUGAACAAAAAAUGAGUAACAAAAAUAUAAAAUAGCACUUCAAAAUAGAUAUGUAGUUAUUAUUUAGAUAAUAUACAUUAUUAUAUAUAUAAAAUGAAUAUUUAAAUUAUAGUAUAUAUUUAUCAUAUUGUGCAUCCAGCUAAAAAGUUUCUAGAUCCACCACUGGUGUUGAAUAUAUGAAUAUUUAUAGGCUUAUAGCAAAGAAGAACGUUGUGUUUUAAAGGGAUUUUUUUCAAAUUCCUCAAAGGCAAUAGGUUAUCGUUUACUUCAUAAGAAAAGUUUUUGUUUCCAAUUUAUUUGUAUGAAAUUAUCACACUGUAUAAAGUAUGGACGUCAACUAUAUCAUACAACCAAUAGUAUAAUAAAUCCAAUUGUAUGAUAUAAUCUGCAACAUAACUAAAGACAUGACUAAACUGUCAGAAAAUAUACAUUUUAAUCUACACAGAAUUCCUUCAUAUUUCAAAAGUAUAUAUUAGCGUAAUUGGGAUCUAAAUUGCUCAACUGGACAUUACAAAUUCAAAACAAAAGGAUUUGCAGGCUGUGGGGUUCGAACCCACGCGCACUUAUGUGCAGAAGAACUUAAGUCUUCCCCCUUAACCACUCGGGCAAACCUGCUAGCUGGUUAAAUGUUAUAAUUUAUUGUUUGAAUCAUUUAAAUCAAUGUAAACCAUCUAACUAUGCUAUUUCCUUUAUUUGGGCCUUAGUGUUAUCUGACAUUUAUACCACUCAACUUUCUCUGGACCUAUUGGUUGUAUAUUUGAUCGAGAAAAGGCUCCAAACAAAACAUAAUAAAUUAGUUUUACAAUUAUUUUACACAUACACACGUUUAGAAAACAUUAAAAUUAACAAGUAACUUUUGUUGUCGUUUUGUACUUCAAAAUAUAAUUGUUGUCUACAUCCUAUUCUGUUAAAUGAUUUGAAAUUAUUAACUGAAAUCACUAAGAAACAAAUAAUGAAAUGAUAAACACACAAAAAAACCAAUUACUUUUAAUAAUAUUUCACACAUUUCAUCUAUACUAUUAAAGCUGAAGUAUAUUUUAAAUUUUUCCUUGAUUUUUGAUAGUAUUUACAUCAUUGCCACUUCCUUUAAAUUUAAAUUAAGCAUAAAUAGUAUAUUUAACUUUGAUCAAAAAAAAAGGUAUAUUUAACCUUUAUUACCUAAAAUACAAAUGUAUACCAAAAAAAUAUUAUGUUACUUUACUUAUGAAUAAUCAUCCAACCUUAUACAAUAAACAAAUGCAUUUAUGAAUAAAUCAUUCAACCUUAUUUAUGUUUUUAACCUUAUUUAAGUUCAUUUAGUUAAAUACAUACUAUAAACAUAUUAAAUAAUUAACUGACAAAACACACUAAUAAAAUAAUUUAAAAAAUAUCUCACACAUACACAAAUUUCAAAAACACUUAACAUACAAUUGUUGUAGUCGUUUGUUCUUCAACAUGUAAUAUUGUCUACAUCUUAUUUUAUUAGAAUGUUUAAAAUUAUUAGCUGAAACUAUUGUUGAUACAAAUAAUAAAAUGACAAAACACACUAAUAUAAUAUUUUAUAUUAGAAAUAUUUCCCACAGACACACAUUCAAAAACUUUAAAAUUAACACAUAAUUGUUAUUUUUCGUUUGUACUUUAACAUGUAAAUGUUGUCGACAUAUUACUCUAUUAGAUUUUUUAUUAACUGAAUUAUUGAUGACACAAAUACUGAAAUAAUAAAACAAACUAAUAAUAUAGCUUUAAAAAUAUUCCACACAAACACACAUUUCAAAAACAUUAAAAAUAACAUGUAAUUGUUGUUGGCGUUUUGUACUUUAACAUGUAAUUGUUGUCGACAUCUUAUUCUAUUAGAUUCUUUAAAAUUACAUCUUAUUCAUCUUAUUCACUUUAUUCUAUUAGAUUUUCUUAAAAUUAUUAACUAAAAAUAUCAAUUACAUAAAUGAUAAAAUAACAAAAUAAACUAAUAAUUACUUAUUUCUCACAACCACACAUUUCAAAAACAUUAAAAUUAACAUGUAAUGGUUAUUGUUGACUUCAGCAUGUAAUUGUUGUCAACAUCUUUUUCUAUAAUAUUCCUUAAAAUGAUCUUUUUCUAUAAAAUUCCUUAAAAUUAUUAACUAAAAUUAUUGAUGACAUAAACAAUUAAAUGACAAAACACACUAGUAUAAUAUAUUUAUAAAUAUUUCACACAUACACAUAUUUCGAAAACAUUAAAAUUAAUAUGUAAUUGUUGUUGUCAUUUUGUAUUUCAACAUGUAACUGUUCUCGACAUCUUAUUCUAUUAGACUCUUUAAAAUUAUUAAAAGAAAUUAUCAAUUACACAAAUAAUAAAAUGAAAAAAAAACACAAUAAUUGUCAAAACAUAAAUAACAAAAGGUUGUUCGCCUUCUAUUAUUAUCAGAAGAGUUUCAUGGAGCCUCUUAAGAUGUCCAAAGCCAAGUUACUCUUGCUUAAAAGAAAAUUGUCUAUUCGGUUUUUUUUGGAUAAUCUAGCAUAAUAUUUAACUCUUAAUCACUGUACUAUGCAAACAAUUUAGUUAAUCAUCAUCUCCUGGAAUGAUCAAUAUGUCCUUCUUAUCUUAGAGUAUUGACUCAAACACUUCGAUAAUUGAUAAUAUGUAUGUUGUAUAUGUUGUUCUCAUUUUUCUAAUUAAAAGGAGAAAAAAGACAAUUGAGAAAACUAAAAAUUCAAUAGAAAAAAAACCGUCAAUGCUAUAGUCUUUGGUUUAGCUCCCUCAACUAUUUUCACAUAAGUUAUGUGAUUAAAUUUAGAUAUUAAAAACACAAUUAGCCACCAUAAAUUUGACAAGUGGAGAGAAGACUAUCUCUCACAUUUUUUGUCAAAGGUUUUCACCUUUUCAUCAAAAUUUUCAUAUGUUUUUGCUCAACUUUUUCCUAAUUUUCAAAUAAAAAUUUCUUUAGAAUCCGCCUUGAAUAAACUAACAUUAAUGCUACUUUUAGAUGUAAAAGACUUUUAAACUAUUUUAUCUCCAUUACUCUCGCAAAAACCUUUGGCUGAAGUCAGUUAACGUCAUUUUUCUUUCAUUUAAUGUCAAUAUCAAAACCCUGAUUCGCAUCACUAAGAUCAUAUACACCAGAAAAAACUGCACAAAAUAUGUUCACUAAACCAUUUAGAUCGUAAAGGAUCUAAAGCCAUCAAAAUUCCCCUCUCUUUAGAUAGAUUGGCUGGAAACUUGGUUAAAUUACUCACCAGAUAAAACGAAUUUAUUCAGGUCUCCAACUAAAAAAAAAGCAUGUGUUAUUGAGAUAACAGCAACAAAUCUAAACAACAUGAAGUAGAAAUAUAGUAGGCAAGAAGAAUCUAAAUGUUUGAGAUCCUUUACCUCUAACGGAUCUCUUAGAAUCAGAUGGGAAUACAUGUCUCUUUUGCUAGGAAGGUCAUGCGCGACUGUGGAAUGAGGCCAAACAAGAUCACCAAGUUUUCGGCAUUUACACUUUUGUCCCUUAUGCAAUUUACUCUCCGCCUCGUGAAUAUCACGCAACUCUUUUACUGCUUAAGAUAUCAAGUGGGGGAGUUUACUGCUAAUGGUCCCAAAAACCCACGCGGUAUCGAAUCCUACGGUAUCACAUACUACAAAAUCAAGAGAGAAACUGUUAGGUGCCAAGGUGCUUCGAAAUCUGCUGGAUGUUAUGAAUUUGUCGUGAAUGAUCCCACUAAGAGUUACGAAAAAGUUAUGAGAAAUACAUAUGUCACAGACUUACAGAUACACAUCCAGAUACUCAUGAAAAUCCUCAUGAAAAAAAAAACAAGUUUUGCUCAUUGCCGGGGACAUGGAUUUUCUGUAUAUCAUGCAACAAUUUCCAAGCACAAAUUUUGUGCUAGCCUUGAAUGAUGAGUUUGACAUCCGACUUCUUAAUCCACCGCUAGCAGUUUGGCGAAGGACUACUAGAAACCGUGCUACUCUGACUAUGUUAGAGGGAGGACCUCCUACACAUCGGAAUAGCUAGGCGGGUGUGACGUGUGCCUGUUAUGUGUGCUAAUUUAAUGUUUCCUAAAUCUGCGUAUGUUAAGAUAUAACUUCAGUAACCAGUUUAAACUUAUGCAGCUAAAUAUCUAUUUCUGUGUGUUUAUGAGGUUUUGACCCCUUCGGCCAUUAUCAUUACUAAUUUUAUACCAAAAUUUUCAUGGCCAUUUUCAAAUAUUAUAUUUAUUAAUCAUAGCUUUUGCUUGAAACUAGAAAUACUUUUCUUUUUAAUGUGUAAAUUUUUGUUAUAUUGCUUUCAUUUUGUACUUCAACAUGUAAUUAUUGUUUUCAUUUUGUACUUCAACAUGUAAUUGUUCUCAACAUCUUAUUCUAUUAGAUUAUUUAAAAUAAUUAACUGAAAUUAUUGAUAACAUGUAAUUGUUGUCGACAUAUUAUUCUAGUAGAUUCCUAAAAAUUAUUAACUAAAAAUAUUGAUGACACAAAUAAUAAAAUAAUAAAAUAAACUAACUAUACUUACUUAACACAAAGAAACAUUUCAAAAAUAAUAAUAAUAACCUGCAUUGGUUAUUGUUGUUUGUACUUCAACAUAUAAUUGUUUUCGACAUCUUAUUCUAUAAGAUUCCUUUAGAUUAUUAACUAAAAUUAUUGAUGACAUAAAUAAUGAAAUGACAAAACACACUAAUAGAAUACAUUUAGAAAUAUUUCACACGUUCACAAAUUUCGGAAACAUUAAAACUAAUAUGCAAUUAUUGUUGUCAUAUUGUAUUUCAGCAUGUAAUUGUUAUCGACACCUUCUUCUUCAAAUUUUCAUAUUUUUUGCUCAACGUUUUCUUAUUUUUUAAUAUUUUUUUUCUUGAAAAACUGUAUUAAAAAACUAACACUAAUACUGUUAGAUGUAAAACAUUUCUAUAUUUUUUUACAACGUGAAUUUGGAUUCACUAUUAUCAGAACGUUACCUAGGGGAAUGCAAAACAUUUCUAUAUUCUUUUCGAAAACUCUUUCCGUAUAGACCAGAAAACAGCUUGUUUAGAGAAAGACUGACUCAUAGAGCAAAGGCAGUUAUCUCUUUCAAAUAAAAUCUAUCAAAAUGUUUCUUCAGCGCCGACUCAAUAGAUCCUUUAAGAUUUUUGAUGUCAUACCCGUAAGGUAAUCUUGCAUUAUCUGAAUCCCAUAGGGCAAUGAAACACUUUUUUUUAGAGCUCGAGCUAGGAAUGUAUUGUUUAACGAACGUUGAACCUCUGCCACCGUAGCUAGAUUAACAUGAUUUGUUUUCUUUAUAUUUUCUUAUAUCUUCUUUAUGUUUUCUUUAUGUUUUUCCUUUUUUUCUUCAUUUUGAGGAUGAUAACAAUUACAAGAAUUUAGAAAUUUAGAGAACACAUACUUUCCAGAAGUUCAGUGUUUACUUACACUUUAAAAAUCUAUAAGAAAUGUAAUUGUUUUCAGAAUAGUAAAAGACUUCUUGUAACGUUACCCAUCAUUAGACAAUUAAAAUUGUUUUCAUGACAACCCUAUUAUACGUUCGCUGCCAUUGUCUCUCAAUUCGGUCCACCUCCGACUAGACACAUCAUCACCUCAUUAUAUGAAUUUCUUAUUUUAACAUUCCUCUCAUCCACCAUGCCUUAAUUAUUUUCUUUGUACUAGAAAGUGAAAAGUUAAACUUAAUUUGUGAAAGUAAACUUCAGACAUUUAUCUAUAGAAAGAGGAGGUACCAAAACAUAUAUUAGACUAGAGUGUAAAACCAUGAUAAACAAACAAUAUAAAUGUAAAGACGCAAAAUAGAAUAGCAAGAAGAUAAAACCAAAAAUAUAGAGUACUCAAAUGGUAAAACCAUAAGGGAAUUUGCAGUAGAUAUACAAAUUAUGAGUUGAUAUUAGGUAAAUGGACAUGGAGACUGUACAUUUUUUAUUAAUACGAAUAUGUCCCUAUAUUUAGACUUAGGUGUAGUACUGACCAAACCGGUACCCCAUCUUUACCACUACCAUUUCGUCUCUUUCCUUGUUAAAAACUUAAUCUGAAGUAUAGAUUUGUUUGACAAAAGAAAUUCUCCUAUGAAAUCGAAAAAAGGCUCCACUCAUCCUCUUCCUUUUCAUUUAUCUGUAGCCAUUAUUACACACAUCAAAACUGUAAAAACUUAUCUAUAGCCAUUAUUAAACCAAACUCAUCCUCUUUUGCUUUACUAACCUCUUUAUGUCUCAAUCUCAAAAAAAAUUUCUCAUCUCUGAAUGUUUUUUUCUCCAUCUCAUGUUAAAACUCUCUGAAAUCUUCAUAUCUCAUUUUUCUUCUUACAUUUAUAUGAUAGUCUGUAACUACAGUGUCUUAAGGGAAAACUUCACGAUGAAAAAAAACAGAUGUGAUGCGUCUUUCUAGCAGUUGAAAAUAGAGGUGAAGCGUUUUCCACUCUUUUUUUUUGUUUCUUCUCCGUUCUGUUUCCAGAGAAACCCGAGGACAACAAAACUUGAGUUAUUGGGGGUUUGAUUUUUUUCAAAAGAAUCAGAACAAUGAAAAACAGAUUUCAGGUUUCUUGAAUCUUCAGUGGAAAAGAUAUGGUUUAUGUUCUGAGUUAUCUCAAUAGGUAAUGGGGCUUUUCUCUCAUUUCCUUUUAAAAUGAGAAUUAUGUUGUGAUGUCUCGGUUUUUUUCAACAAAGAUUCCUCCUUUUCAAGAACAAAGAUCAGACUCGUGUAUGUGAAUUGGUUAUUUGUUCGAAUUUUGCAAUUUUAUUUUUAGUUUUCUGGAAAUAUUCCAAUGAGUGUUCCACCUGUUAAAAUGUAUAAGAGAAAGUUUAACGACAUAGGAAGGGGAAGAUAUGAUUCAGAUUUUUGGAUCCAACAAUCUUGAAUAGGAAAAGGACAGCAAGAUUCUCAAGUUCUUAGGUUUAUGUGGAAUCCACUCGCCUGAGCCCGGAUCUGUCGUGUUCUUGUCGGCGAUUGAGACACGAGGAGGCGUCUCUUGGUCGGAGGAGCAUUUGAGGAGAAGGGAGCCAUAAAAAGUGGAAGUGAGGAAAACGAGGUGGUGAAGUCGCCUUUUCUAGCCGGAGGAUGGUGAACCAACGGCGUCGGAAAAUAGAAAGCUUUGUGGAUCGCCGGAGAAGAGUAGUCAGAGGCAAGCUUCGUCGCCGGGGAAGAAGAGAGAGAAAUAGAAGAAGCUGAAGAAGAAGUUUUUGAAGUAGAAAAAGCCGGUAGCAGGUAAAAUAGAGAUGGAUUCAUUCGAUUGCAACAAGGAUAAUAUAGACUUUCCAUGCAGUUCUUUCUCCUAGUUUGCCAAUUAAUAAAAAAAAUGUCCACUUACCUAAUUUACAUUCUUGUUUUGGUUA